rnacentral:lncRNA from 1 species
UGUGGAUUGCUUUGUAAUAAAAUGGAAAAGGCUACCCCAAAGAACACACACUCCAAAUGAAAAAGGGAAAGAAAAAGUUUUAUUAAUUUCAUGAUGCUCCUAUAUAGUUAUUGGCCUAGUGCAGUUUGUAUAUAUAAUUAUAUGUCAUGAUUAGCUAGCUUAAUGCUUCAUGAUUUUGGAGAAGAGAUGAGAAAUUAAGAAUUCUAGUGGUGUGAUGCAUGCAAGUCAAAUGAGAGAAUUGAGAAUAUUUUAGAUUUUGAAUAUAUAAGAAAUGGAUCAUGCAAGAAAAUCUACAUUCAAAAUAAUUGGAUAAUUGUUUUGAGAUCAUGUUUUUUGAAGAGGAAAAUUUUCACAUUUACGAUUUUUUUUUUUAUAUUCGAGACACUGAUCUUGGAAAGACUGAAUCCCUUGAUUGUUUUCUCCUCUAGCUUUGAUUUUCUAUAGAGUGAUCACUAAACUAGAUGGGCAGGUUACCUAGCUAUUUAUUUUUCAAUUAUUUACCUUUCAUCAUUAGUGUAUAUGAGUUUAUUCCUCCAAAGCAUAAGAUUAUUAUUACAUAACUUUAUUAAUAUCAAAUGCAGCAAUAUUCACAUAAUAAUGUAUGUGUUAGAUAAUUAAUUAUUAAUAUGUAAGCGCGAUUUUGGACUUAUUUGUGUUUAUAGUCAGGUUAUAUUGAUGCACAUAUAAGUGAUUGGAGAUUGAUUUAUAUGAACUUCAAUUUUUC